rnacentral:rRNA from 1 species
UGAACGCUAGCGGCAGGCCUAACACAUGCAAGUCGAGGGAGAAGCCUUCGGGCUGAAACCGGCGCACGGGUGCGUAACGCGUAUACAAUCUGCCUUUCACAUAGGGAUAGCCCGAAGAAAUUUGGAUUAAUACCUAAUGGUAUAUAGGAGCGGCAUCGUUUUUAUAUUAAAGCUACGGUGGUGAAAGAUGAGUAUGCGUUCUAUUAGCUAGUUGGAGAGGUAACGGCUCCCCAAGGCGACGAUAGAUAGGGGUUCUGAGAGGGAUGUCCCCCACACUGGUACUGAGAUACGGACCAGACUCCUACGGGAGGCAGCAGUGAGGAAUAUUGGACAAUGGUCGGAAGACUGAUCCAGCCAUGCCGCGUGCAGGAUGAAGGUCCUAUGGAUUGUAAACUGCUUUUGUAAGGGAAGAAUAAGGGGUACGUGUACUUUGAUGACGGUACCUUACGAAUAAGCAUCGGCUAACUCCGUGCCAGCAGCCGCGGUAAUACGGAGGAUGCGAGCGUUAUCCGGAAUCAUUGGGUUUAAAGGGUCCGUAGGCGGGCUAAUAAGUCAGAGGUGAAAGCGUUCAGCUCAACUGAGCAACUGCCUUUGAAACUGUUAGUCUUGAAUGAUUGUGAAGUAGUUGGAAUGUGUAGUGUAGCGGUGAAAUGCUUAGAUAUGACACAGAACACCGAUAGCGAAGGCAUAUUACUAACAAUUUAUUGACGCUGAUGGACGAAAGCGUGGGGAGCGAACAGGAUUAGAUACCCUGGUAGUCCACGCUGUAAACGAUGGAUACUAGCUGUUUGGAGCAAUCUGAGU